AUUGAACGCUGGCGGCAUGCCUUACACAUGCAAGUCGAACGGCAGCACGGACUUCGGUCUGGUGGCGAGUGGCGAACGGGUGAGUAAUGUAUCGGAACGUACCUUUCAGUGGGGGAUAACGUAGCGAAAGUUACGCUAAUACCGCAUAUUCUGUGAGCAGGAAAGCAGGGGAUCGCAAGACCUUGCGCUGAUUGAGCGGCCGAUAUCAGAUUAGCUAGUUGGUGAGGUAAAGGCUCACCAAGGCGACGAUCUGUAGCGGGUCUGAGAGGAUGAUCCGCCACACUGGAACUGAGACACGGUCCAGACUCCUACGGGAGGCAGCAGUGGGAAUUUUGGACAAUGGGGGCAACCCUGAUCCAGCCAUGCCGCGUGAGUGAAGAAGGCCUCGGUGUAAGACUCUUCGUCCGGAAGGAAAGUACGUCGAUGGCGUAAUACCCUACGUGCGGAGUGAC
rnacentral:rRNA from 1 species